AACGAACGCUGGCGGCAUGCCUAACACAUGCAAGUCGAACGAGACCUUCGGGUCCAGUCGCGCACGGGUGCGUAACGCGUCGGAACCUGCCCUUAUGUUUGGAAUAACUCCACGACAGGGGUGACAAUACGGGAUCAUGUCUUCGACCCAAAGAUAUAUCGCCUUUGAUUGGUCCCGCGUUGGAUUAGGUAGUUCGUAGGGUAAUAGCCUCCCACGGCGACGAUCCAUAGCUGGUUAGAGAGGAUGAUCAGCCACACAGGGACUGAGACCCGGCCCAGACUCCUACGGGAGGCAGCAGUGGGGAAUAUUGGACAAUGGGCGAAAGCCUGAUCCAGCAAUGCCGCGUGAGUGAUGAAGGCCUUAGGGUUGUAAAGCUCUUUUACCCGGGAUGAUAAUGACAGUACCGGGAGAAUAAGCUCCGGCUAACUCCGUG
rnacentral:rRNA from 1 species